UGAUUUGGCACCAAAUUCAAUUAGCAAAGCGUGAGAAGAGAGACCUGCACGUUGUGUUCUUGGAUUUGGCUAAUGCUUUUGGGUCUGUGCCGCAUAGUCUGUUGUGGGAGGCCUUUGAUUAUUUCAGAAUCCCAGGUAGCAUUAAAAGCCUAGUAAAAGCAUACUUUCUGGAUAUUCAAUUAUGUUUUACUACAGCUGAUUACACCACAGGGUGGCAACAACUUGAGAUAGGAAUCAUGGCAGGAUGUACCAUCUCCCCACUUGCUUUUACAAUGGCAAUGGAGGUCAUCAUUAGGGCCUCAAAAUGGGUAGUGGGUGGGGAGAAGUUGCAGGGAGGGCCACGCCUCCCCCCGAUUCGGGCUUUCAUGGACGACAUGACAACCUUGACGACAACCGUUCCAUGCACCAACAGGUUGCUGGGUAAGUUAAAUAGUAA